UCUCACCAUUCUUGAGUUCAAGUUCCACAUCAGACGAAAAGUUUCCCUGGGGCCGAAGCCCAUUAUUGUGACUCAUCUUUUCAACAAUGAUUGGAUUUCAUCACAAAGUAGUUUUAUUUUUUUUUUCAAGACUUCUCUUGAACUCAUCUAUAAAAUGGAAACGCUAAUAGUUCCUCCUCGCAGGGCUGCAGUGGAAAUGAAUGAAAUCAAUUCACAUAAGGUGUU